UAGAUACUCCCUCCGUUCGGAAUUACUUGUCGUAGAAAUGGAUGUAUCUAGAUGUAUUCUAGAUACAUCCAUUUCUACGACAAGUAAUUCCGAACGGAGGGAGUACAUA
rnacentral:pre_miRNA from 1 species